rnacentral:rRNA from 1 species
ACACGUAGGGGGCAAGCGUUGUCCGGAUUUAUUGGGCGUAAAGAGCUCGUAGGUGGUUCGAUAAGUCGGGUGUGAAACCUCCAGGCUCAACCUGGAGACGCCACUCGAUACUGUCGUGACUAGAGUCCAGUAGGGGAGCGUGGAAUUCCUGGUGUAGCGGUGAAAUGCGCAGAUAUCAGGAGGAACACCAGCGGCGAAGGCGGCGCUCUGGGCUGGCACUGACACUGAGGAGCGAAAGCGUGGGGAGCAAACAG